GAUGAACGCUGGCGGCGUGCUUAACACAUGCAAGUCGAACGGAAAGGCCCAAGCUUGCUUGGGUACUCGAGUGGCGAACGUGUGAGUAACACGUGGGUGAUCUGCCCUGCACUUCGGGAUAAGCCUGGGACACUGGGUCUAAUACCUGCUAGGACGAUGGUUUGGAUGCCAUUGUGGAAAGUUUUUUCGGUGUGGGAUGAGCUCGCGGCCUAUCAGCUUGUUGGUGGGGGAAUGGCCUACCAAGGCGUCGACGGGUAGCCGGCCGGAGAGGGUGUACGGCAAGACCGGGACGGAGACGCGGGCCAGACUCGGACGAGGGGCGGCAGUGGGGAAGAGUGUACAAUGGGAGCAAGCCUGAUGCAGCGACGCCGCGUGGGGGGUGAAGGCCUUCGGGUGGUAAACACCUUUCGCGAGGGAAGAAGAGUGUUUGUGACGGUAACUGGAGAAGAAGCACCGGCUAACUACGUG
rnacentral:rRNA from 1 species